ACCAUUUACAGUACCAUCACAGGGCCUCUCUUGCGUAUUCAUUUACAGCUUAGGACAAGUGAGUGCGAUACAUCCCAUAAUUUCCAUCGGUCUGGCCAGUGCACCUGCGUUUCAUCCGAUUCUAUUUGCAGCCUACUCCAUCUCACAUCCACCCCUCAGCCUGAAUACAAACCAAGUUACCCAAAGUGAGCAAUUCCGGGAGAGCCGAUGAUGCCGAUUCCCGACUGGACGCAUUAACCGUAGGUACGCUUCCGGGCUUCUGCGGCACUGGCAGGAAGCAGACGGAAGAACCGAAGCCCCUAGCGGGGGACUGAGAUACAUCCGCUGGCUAAUUAAUCAAGCGCCGACCCAGGUGUGGCACAGGCCUGCCGCCGGUAGUGUGGCGUGUUGUCAUCCAUCACCGGUCCGAGUGACAGCUCUCCGGCGCAUUCCAAUGCUUUCCGUUAACCGUCGGCAUGGAGCCCAAAGUCUUCACUCCAAAAUAAUAGCAUCUCAAUCAUGCCAGGCUUCAGGAUCGAUUUCUGCGGACCCAAGCAGCUACGCGUUCAUUAGGCCUGUUCAUGCCCCCCGUAUCUGCUCAUCUCUCUGGGACGUGUCAGGCGUGGGUUAUGCUCCUUACGCUGGCACUGCCUUUUGCACCGCAUUAUCCCAUCCUCAAAACAAAGACUCUUGCUAAAGAUUUAAAAUUGCUCGCUUGCCAUGUGGAAUUAGGGAGCUGGCACUUCGAUGUUCGCUCUCAAAAUCCGAGUCCAACAGCAUUUGCCCGGCAUAACCCCAGGCUGAGCACAUUUGCAAAACUGACACUGAGAGCUCAUUUGACAGCGUGCUGUAGAAUAACACAUCACACCACCCUCGUAGCCUCUCCAAAUGCCAGACGGGUUUGGACUCCUGCUCCACUCUUCUGUGGCCAACACCAAACCCCUCGAGUCACGUAGCGUGCAUGGGUUUUCACUGUACCUCAGCACUUAAUUGCUUCAUUGAAGUGAUUAUUUGGACGGCAAAUCACCUCAGCUGGUGUGUCAGGCAGUAAUUAAAAACGUGUUCCCUUACACCCGCAGAAAAUGUGCUCUCAGGCAUCUGCAUCGGUCACCCCCCGGCUUAGUCAAAGGACCUCUGCAGAGGAACGAUGUUGGCACUGCAACUGGGACAGCGUGAAGAUGUCCAUGACGAAGAAAUGACUGAAGCAUCUGAACGAGACUACAGGAGAGAUGAGCUACUCAGCCUUCAUGGCGAGCGUGAUGGCCGGCUCGGUCACCGUCCGCUUCCCCUCCGGCUUGCCCCCCUCCAAGACCAGGCCGCAGUAGGAGGUUCUCCCCACCGAGAAGAUCAUUUGCUGUCAGCCACUGGCUAUAAAAGGCCGCUUCACUGCCAGGAGCUGGAAGGAUUGCUGCAGAUCCCACUCAGCCCAGCAGCUCCAGUUCAUCACUCCGUCGCCCCCCGCUGGCCCCUAUUUGAAGGUGUGACCUAUAAGGUGGCUGGCGAUAGCACACACUCACACUCUAUUUCCCUGGCUGUGAAAUAAGCUCCCAUUUGCCCUUCUCGGUCCUUCCCGGCUCCAUCUCCUUCCCGGCCCGCGCCUCAGGCCCUGAUAAAUCCAGGAGAACAAAGAGAGCUGUCCAUCAGGCUGGUGUUUAUCGCCUCCGUGUCUGACACAGGCAGCCUGGCCCCGGAGCUGCAGAUUCUCCGCCGUCGUGCCCUUUUUCUGGAAGACGCGAUUGGCUUGGUAAUUAGCAGUAAUUAUACCUGUCAGUUAUCUGAGAUUUGAACACACCGGGAUGCCAGAGCACCACCUGGCUGUGAGUCUCGCUGUCAGCUCUCUGCCCCGCCUGUCCCCAGGGCCUGUUAGGCUAAAUUACAGAGCAGCCGGGGGAGACAACACCAGCACGCAAAGGUGAUUUCGGCGCAUGACAUCUUCAGUGGCUUCCUUCACGUAUAAACCACCAUAUAAGUAACUACCAUGUCACACGUGCCAUUGUCUCAGCUGAACGUUGCGGAAUGGAGGGUGCAGCCGGCAAUCCAUUCCGACCGCUAAUCAAAAUGAUUAACUGCAGCGUGUGUUUAAUUAUUCCAGUAUUAAUUGGCACCCCUCCCUCUGCAUUCCCAGGAAGGUCCCUCAAGUCAGUCUUAGACAGUGGACACAAGGUGAUGGAGGACAGACGAAAAAGAUAAAAACAAAACACAAAAAAAAUGUUGGUUUAAUUACUGGACAGAUUAAGAAACUGUGUAAUGAUUCUAUGUCAUUCGCACAAAGCGCAGUGUAGGGACACAUCCCAUCCUCCAGUGUAGAGACACAUCCUAUCCUCCAGUGUAGGGACACAUCCUAUCCUUCAGUGUAGGGAUAUAUAUCACGCCCUCCAGUAUAGGAACAUAUCCCAUCCUCCAGUGUAGGGACACACCCCAUCCUCCAGUGUAGGGACAUACCCCAUCCUCCAGUGUAGGGACAUACCCCAUCCUCCAGUUUAGGGACACAUCCUAUCCUCCAGUGUAGGGAUAUAUAUCGCACCCUCCAGUAUAGGAACAUAUCCCAUCCUCCAGUGUAGGGACACACUCCAUCCUCCAGUGUAGGGACACAUCCUAUCCUCCAGUGUAGGGACACAUCCUAUCCUCCAGUGUAGGGAUAUAUAUCGCACCCUCCAGUAUAGGAACAUAUCCCAUCCUCCAGUGUAGGGACACACUCCAUCCUCCAGUAUAGGAACAUAUCCCAUCCUCCAGUGUAGGGACACACCCCAUCCUCCAGUGUAGGGACACACCCCAUCCUCCAGUGUAGGGACACAUCCUAUCCUCCAGUGUAGGGACACACCCCAUCCUCCAGUGUAGGGACACACCCCAUCCUCCAGUGUAGGGACACACCCCAUCCUCCAGUGUAGGGACACACCCCAUCAGUCACACAUAUCAAUCUGCUGGCCACAGGUUUUGAACCGAUGACCUUCCAGACGUAACCUACCGAGCCACACACGGCCCCUGACAGCAAGUGUGCAUAAAGAAAAGCACUUUCACUUUAAUGUGGGCGGGGUUAAUGUUCUUGUGGGCCAAUCAAGCACAUUCCCUCACUUCACCUGUGCCGUAUCACUGCCCACCAUCAUAUAACAGUGAGUUCUAUCUGUUCCCUUGUCCCCGAAAGCCCAAACCCUAAUACAUGACCCCCCCAUUCCACUGCAUCUCUUUCAGAGACCAAACACCUGUUUAGGUUCCCCUGUGUUUCUCUUUGUGCUGAUGCCUAAAUGAUUCUUCUGUUUUCGUUCCUCUGCUGCAGGCCGCAGAGAAAGCCCCCACCCCCAUUGUCAUCCUGCCUGGACGGCGUCUCGCAGUAACGCGAAGCUUCCGGCCCACUGCCCCCCACCGCCCAACCCAAAAACCAAUUUGGCACUUCGCGAGCGCCAUCAGUACAUUUCCACGCGACGUGUUCUGCCAGCUCCGCCGGCCUGCCAACUGCAGUCUCAGUGGCGCCCCCUUGGAGCUGGCUCCGUGCGCAGAACAGCUGUUGACGCGGCUGUAAUCUGGCUUGGGGAGCGCCUUCCUUAUUGCCUAACAGCACAGUUGUUUGUACGUGUCACUCGUUUUUAAAUAUGCUUAAAUAAGCUUAAUGCAUUUUGGUGGAGACAGUGUGCAGGGAAUAUUAAUAAAGUAUACACAAUGGCACAUAUGUCCGACUUAUUAAAAAUAAUAAGCUUUUAAGCACUGAGGUGUCAAGAUCUACCCUGAAGCUGCCAAAGUUCAGGAUCAAGGUUACUCAUUAAUAUUAAUACUAUGGGGUGGGUUAAGCACCUCAUUCAGCAUGUUUCAUACUCAUUAGUAUAUUAUAUACGAUGCACUGUUCAUUACUGGGCAGCAGGUGGCGUAGUCAAUAAAGAACUAGAAAAGAAGUUGCUCAUCUCUGCACCCUUGGAUGGGUUGACAGAUUGCGUGAAUGGGAAUUCAACUUUUCCACCAUGGUGACUGGAUAAGAGUGAAGGGCGUCAGACACAGGCGGAGCAGGCAUGUUGUGAACAGCGGAAACACGCCAAGG